rnacentral:rRNA from 1 species
GUCUUUUUGAUUUUGAUUUAAAGUCUGGCCUGCCCAAUGAUUAUUUGAAUGGCCGCAGUAUCUUGACUGUGCAAAGGUAGCAUAAUCAUUAGUUUUUUAAUUGAAAGCUGGAAUGAAAGGUUUGAUGAGAAAAUAACUGUCUCUGUGUGAAUGAUUUAGAACUUCAAUUUUGAGUGAAAAAGCUUAAAUUUGUUAUAAAGACGAGAAGACCCUAUAGAGUUUUAUAUUUGAUUUUAUUCAGGGAUUUUGGAAUUUAUUUUUCUGUUUUGGAUUAAGUAUUUUAUUGGGGCGAUGGAAAAAUUGAAUGAACUUUUUUUUGUUUGAUACAUUUAUUUAUGAUUAUUUGAUCCUAAAUUUUGGAUUACAAGAUUAAAUUACCUUAGGGAUAACAGCGUAAUUUUUUUUGGAGAGUUCUUAUCGAUAAAAAAGUUUGCGA